UGUGUCCCACAUACGCAUCCUACUUUGUCGUCCUAUAUAUAUAUAUAUAUAUAUAUAUAUACAUAUAUAUAUAUAUAUAUAUAUAUAUAUAUAUAUAUAUAUAUAUAUAUAUAUAUAUAUAUAUAUAUAAGACGACAAAGUAGGAUGCGUAUGUGGGACACA